rnacentral:rRNA from 1 species
AACGGCCAUACCAUGCUGAAUAUACCGGUUCUCGUUAGAUCACCGAAGUCAAGCAUCAUUCAGUACUUGGGUGGGGGGACCACCUGGGAACACCGCGUGCCGUU